AUUUAAUGUAUGGAAGAAUAUUUUUAAUGGAAGUUCGUGAUAAUGCUUCAGCGAUUUAUUGAAAUGCUGAUGUAAUAGAAGCCUAGAUGAACAAUAUAACUUGGAAGAUCCACAGAAAACUUACACAAAUAUAAAAAGAGAAGAAAAAAAGAAGCUAACAUUUAUUACAAUUUUAGAAUUUCAUCUGUGUACAGUGCAUAAAAAUAUUCCAACAGCAAUUAAUCUUGACUCAGUAAUAAUUAGACAAGGUAAUAUAAAGCACUGCAAGAGAAAAACAAAUAUCGCAGAGCUCGUAAAGCUGAAACAAAAAAAAUAUGAGUCCAUUAAUUAAAAAUUGAAGCCACUCAAACACUAGCUUCGUAUUUCAACGAGUACAACCAUCAGAUUUUCUGUGUAUGCUUUUUAUUUUCAUUUUACGUAACGAUGAGAGAAAAAAUUAUAUUCCAUAACUCUUAUUAAACAAAAUAUAUUAUUUAAAAGUU